rnacentral:tRNA from 1 species
AGUAAAGUAAGCUAAAGCUUAAGCUAUUGGGUUCAUACCCCAAACAUGAAUUAUAAUAUUCCUUUAUUA